UUUCCGUAGGUGAACCUGCGGAAGGAUCAUUAAUAAAUGGUCUCCAUUUAGUAGUCACUUAAUAAUCCUACCCUUUGUGAAUUUGUUUGUUUGGAAUAAUUUUUUUUCAAAAAUUAUUGAUGUCUUUCCCUGUUAUUGGUGGCUAUGGCAAAGUGAAUCGCAGGGGAAUGGCAACAUAAUUUUUUAAAAAGACCUUUUUUAAAAUUAAACUCUUUGUAUUCAUUUGUCUAAAAUUAUUUUUAUAAUAUAAAAACAACUUUUGACAAUGGAUCUCUUGGUUCUCGCAACGAUGAAGAACGCAGCAAAAUGCGAUAAGUAGUGUGAAUUGCAGAAUACGUGAAUCAUCGAAUCUUCGAACGCAUAUUGCACUUUUUUAGUUUACUAAAAAAGUAUGUCUGUUUGAGUAUCAGUAAAAUAUUCUCAUAAAAAAUUUAUUUUUUAUGGUUAUGAGUGUUUUACAACGAUAACAAGUUGUUUCACUUUAAAUUCUUUGUUAUCAAAAAAUCAUUAAAAGCUAAUUUUAAAGAUUUUUUAAAAUUGGAUAAAAUUUUCCCGUAAAAGGAAUAACCUAAACAAUUUUAAAAAAUUAAAAUUGGUUUGAUUUUUCUUGAUUUAAAAAGGAAAAAAAGUAAAAAUUAACUUGAUCUCAAAUCAGAUAAGAGUACCCGCUGAACUUAAGCAUAUCAAUAAGCGGAGGAAAAGAAACUAACUAGGAUUCCCUCAGUAACGGCGAGUGAAGCGGGAAGAGCUCAAAUUUGAAAUCUUCAAGGUUUUACCUUGACGAAUUGUAGUUUAAAGAAGUGUUUUCUGUUGGAGUUUUGGUAAAAGUUCUUUGGAAAAGGACAUCAUAGAGGGUGAGAAUCCCGUAUUUGACCAUUAUCUCCAGCUUUGUGAUACACUUUCAAAGAGUCGGAUUGUUUGGGAAUGCAGUCCAAAAUGGGUGGUAAAUUUCAUCUAAAGCUAAAUACUGGCGAGAGACCGAUAGCGAACAAGUACCGUGAGGGAAAGAUGAAAAGAACUUUGAAAAGAGAGUUAAACAGUACGUGAAAUUGUCAAAAGGGAAGCGUUUGACACCAGUGUUGUUUUCUCGAAAAUCAAUUAAAAAAGGCCGGAUUUUGUGUUGUAUUGACUUUAUCAGCUUUCUGCACUUUUUUCUUGUCUUUUUUAAUGCACUUUUCGUUUAACAAGUCAACAUCAAUUUCUUUUGUUGUAAAAGGGUCAUUGGAAGGUGGCUUCUUUUCGGAGAAAGUGUUUAUAGCCUUUGGCCUCUGCAAUCGGAGAGAUUGAGGUCUGCAGCGUAGAUCCUUCGGGGUUAGAUACAUUUGUGCUAAGUUAUAGCCUUUCAUAGACAACUUGUUGACUAUGAUCAGUCAUGUAGCUUACUCGCUUAUGCUAUUUUACCUACGCUUAGGAUGUUG
rnacentral:misc_RNA from 1 species